rnacentral:rRNA from 1 species
ACGCUCGACACCUACUGGAGGCAGCAGUGGGGAAUAUUGGGCAAUGGGCGCAAGCCUGACCCAGCAACGCCGCGUGAAGGAAGAAGGCUUUCGGGUUGUAAACUUCUUUUGUCAGGGACGAAGACGUGACGGUACCUGACGAAUAAGCUCCGGCUAACUACGUGCCANNCGCGAGUAUNGNGGCGNGNGAGAG